UUACGGGAGGCAGCAGUGGGGAAUUUUGGACAAUGGGCGAAAGCCUGAUCCAGCAAUGCCGCGUGCAGGAAGAAGGCCUUCGGGUUGUAAACUGCUUUUGUACGGAACGAAACGGUCUUGGUUAAUACCUGGGGCUAAUGACGGUACCGUAAGAAUAAGCACCGGCUAAUUACGUGCCAGCAGCCGCGGUAAUACGUAGGGUGCGAGCGUUAAUCGGAAUUACUGGGCGUAAAGCGUGCGCAGGCGGUGCUGUAAGACAGGCGUGAAAUCCCCGGGCUCAACCUGGGAAUUGCGCUUGUGACUGCAGUGCUGGAGUACGGCAGAGGGGGAUGGAAUUCCGCGUGUAGCAGUGAAAUGCGUAGAUAUGGGGAGGAACACCGAUGGGGAAGGCAGUCCCCUGGGCCUGUACUGACGCUCAUGCACGAAAGCGUGGGGAGCAAACAGGAUUAGAUACCCUGGUAGUCCACGCCCUAAACGAUGUCAACUGGUUGUUGGGUAAUUUACUUUCUCAGUAACGAAGCUAACGCGUGAAGUUGACC
rnacentral:rRNA from 1 species